UCCCCUGCCCUUUGUACACACCGCCCGUCGUUACUACCGAUUGAAUGGCUUAGUGAGGUCUUGGGAGCGUUGGCGUUGUGGGCGACCGCGACGCUGAUGCGAACUUGAUCAAACUUGGUCAUUUAGAGGAAGUACAAGUCGUAACAAGGUUUCCGUAGGUGAACCUGCGGAAGGAUCAUUUUUGAAUACCUAAGCACAGUGAAGAGCGAGUGGUGCGCAGCAGCACUCGCGACUGCUUCCGGUUCGCCGGGCAAAACAAAUACUGAACGAGUCUGAUUUAGUAAAGGAAAAACUUUCAACAACGGAUCUCUUGGUUCUCGCAUCGAUGAAGAACGCAGCAAAGCGCGAUAGGUAAUGCGAAUUGCAGACGUGAGUCAUUGAAUCUUUGAACGCACAUUGCGCCAGUUUACUGGCAUACUGCGUUGAGCGUCGGCCUUCCUCCACAGGUGUUGCUGCUUGCAGCAGUCAAAGGCAUGGACACGCACCCGUUAGCAACCGGUGCCAACCACACACUUCGACCUCAGCGUAGUAAGACUACCCGCUGAACUUAAGCAUAUCAAUAAGCGGAGGAAAAGAAACCAACAGGGAUUGCCCUAGUAAUGGCGAAUGAACAGGCAAAAGCUCAGAUUUGAAACCCUCGGGAUUGUAAUCUGGAGGCCUGGAUUUGGCGCGCUGACCAAGUCUCCUGGAACGGAGCGCCAUGGAGGGUGACAGCCCCGUAGCAGCAGCCAGUGCAAAUCCGGGCCCACGAGUCGAGUUGUUUGGGAAUGCAGCUCUAAGUGGGUGGUAUGCUCCAUCUAAAGCUAAAUAUUGGCGAGAGACCGAUAGCGAACAAGUACUGUGAAGGAAAGAUG
rnacentral:rRNA from 1 species